rnacentral:rRNA from 1 species
GACGAAGGGGGCUAGCGUUGUUCGGAAUUACUGGGCGUAAAGCGCGUGUAGGCGGUUGUUCAAGUCGGGUGUGAAAGCCUUGAGCUCAACUCAAGAAAUGCACUCGAUACUGGAUGACUUGAGGACCGGAGAGGAUAGUGGAAUUCCCAGUGUAGUGGUGAAAUACGUAGAGAUUGGGAAGAACACCAGUGGCGAAGGCGGCUAUCUGGACGGUUUCUGACGCUAAGACGCGAAGGCCAGGGGAGCAAACAGG